CAUCCAACAGGAUAAUUCUGACAAAAUAUAAUUUCAUUUCCUGAAGUUUCCCUAGGAGUUUAAAUUCCAGUCAGUCACUAUGGAUGUUGACUGAAUCAGACAUCCUUUGAUGACUGCCUCCCUUCUUUCAAAUGCUCAGCCAUUACCAUGGUUUCUUGCUUUCCCAAAUAAAAUAUUUUCACCAGAAUUCUUUUUUUUUUAAUUUUUUAUUUUUAUUUUUGAGAGAGAGAGAGAGAGAGACAGAGAGAGAGAGAGAGAGAGCAUGAGUGGGGGAGGAGCAGAGACAGAGGGAGACACAGAAUCCAAAGCAAGCUCCGGGCUCUGAGCCGUCAGCACAGAGCCCAACAUGGGGCUCGAACUCACAGACUGCAAGACCAUGACCUGAGCCAAAGUCAGACACUUAACCAACUGAGCCACCCAGGUGCCCCCAAAAUUCUUGUCUUAGAGAUGGCUUCUUCAAUGACCCAAACCAAGACACUUUAUAGCACAUCAUACACCUUCCUAAAUAAAGCUGUGACUGACCUUCAGUACUUUUUUAAAGUAUUGUAAGCCUCUGAAAAGGAGAAAAAAAUGCCAUGGUCCUUAAAUGCUGUUUUUAUGAUUUAAAAAGCAAAGUGAAAUAAAGUGAAUACAUUUUAUAUUCAAUUGUACAUUAUCAUGAAUUGCUAUUAUCUUUUUAAAAAUCAUUUGACAGAUCAUUUGAAUAAUCUCUGGGAAAGGCACCUGGGUUGCUCAGCUGGUUAAGCAUCAAACUCUUGAUUUUGGCUCAGAUGAUGAUCUCACGAUUCAUGGGGAUUGAGCCCUGUGUUGGGUUCCACGGCUGACAGCACAAAGCCUGCUUGGAAUUCUCUCUCUCCUUUUCUCUCUGCCCCUCCCCCCACUUCUGCAUUCUCUGUCUCUCUCUGUCUCUCUGUCUCUCUGUCUCUCUCUCUCAGAAAUAAAUACACUUUAAAAAAGAAGAAUAUCUGGUAAAUGGAAACAAUAAAAUGUAUAAAACACACUAUACCUAAAACAAGAUCCAGAACAAAGCAAAGCAACCAACAUAUUCUCAUGAAGCAAAGCUUGAAAAAGUCUGACUUGAGAUUUGAAGUGACUGGCUUUAUCAACACUUUGGCAAAUUUUGUAUUGGUCAAUCAGAAAAUAAUAUCUCCAGGCUUUGUAGAAUCUCUACAAAUGUGCAAGUUCUCUAACUACAAAUGUGCAAGUUCCUGA
rnacentral:lncRNA from 1 species